rnacentral:rRNA from 1 species
UACAGAGAGUGCAAACGUUGUUCGGAAUUACUGGGCUUGAAGCGCACGUAGGCGGCGUUGUAAGUGUCGGGUGAAAUCCCACGGCUCACCCGUGGAACUGCCCGGCAUACUGCGAUGCUAGAGUGUGGUAGGGGAGAGCGGAACUCCUGGUGGAGCGGUGAAAUGCGUAGAUAUCAGGAGGAAUACCGAUGGCGAAGGCAGGUCCCUGGGUCGAUACUGACGCUCAUGCACGAAAGCGUGGGGAGCAAACAGG